UUGGAGAGUUUGAUCCUGGCUCAGGACGAACGCUGGCGGCGUGCUUAACACAUGCAAGUCGAACGAAGAGCGAUGGAAGCUUGCUUCUAUCAAUCUUAGUGGCGAACGGGUGAGUAACGCGUAAUCAACCUGCCCUUCAGAGGGGGACAACAGUUGGAAACGACUGCUAAUACCGCAUACGAUCUAAUCUCGGCAUCGAGGAUGGAUGAAAGGUGGCCUCUAUUUAUAAGCUAUCACUGAAGGAGGGGAUUGCGUCUGAGUAGCUAGUUGGAGGGGUAACGGCCCACCUAGGCGAUGAUC
rnacentral:rRNA from 1 species